GACGAACGCUGGCGGCGUGCCUAACACAUGCAAGUCGAACGGAACUGUUUUGAAAGCUUUCUUCGGAAUGAAUUUGAUUUAGUUUAGUGGCGGACGGGUGAGUAACGCGUGAGUAACCUGCCUUCAAGAGGGGAAUAACAUUCUGAAAAGAAUGCUAAUACCGCAUGACAUAUCGGAACCACAUGGUUUUGAUAUCAAAGAUUUUAUCGCUUGAAGAUGGACUCGCGUCCGAUUAGUUAGUUGGUGAGGUAACGGCUCACCAAGACCGCGAUCGGUAGCCGGACUGAGAGGUUGAACGGCCACAUGGGGACUGAGACACGGCCCAGACUCCUACGGGAGGCAGCAGUGGGGGAUAUUGCGCAAUGGGGGCAACCCUGACGCAGCAACGCCGCGUGAAGGAUGAAGGUUUUCGGAUUGGAAACUUCUUUUAUUAAGGACGAAAAAUGACGGUACUUAAUGAAUAAGCUCCGGCUAACUACGUG
rnacentral:rRNA from 1 species